rnacentral:lncRNA from 1 species
CUGAGUAGGAGGACUGAGUGUUUGUUUGGCAGGAAUUCAUACUAGGAAGAAUAAAAGUCAGCACAAGUUCUGAUGAAAGUAAUUCUGCAAACCUGGUGUCUUUUGAAUUUCACGCCUGCUAAUGGAAAGCUGGAUUAAUCUUUACAAGGUUCAUCUGUCUUAACCUGAGAUCAUCAGACUUGAAGCCAGAGCUAAACAGAGCUCCAGUCUCUCACAGCCAGUGAGUACGAGUUGUUCUUUUCUGCCAUGACAG